rnacentral:lncRNA from 1 species
AAAAACUUCGUUUCAAGCUACAAUUACGGGACUCAGGUGGUCGAGUUGACGGAUCGAGUGAUCAAUUUAAAGAAAGACGGAGAAAAAAUUGAAGUCGUUGUUGAGAAGGCGCCGGAUGGUGCAGCAAUUGAAUUACCUCUUGAUCACACAGUUGUUGGUCAAGAACUAUUACUUGAUCAAGUUUGGAGAUGUAUCACUGAUCAGGAAAAUAACAGGGGAAUUAUCGGCUUGUAUGGUAUCGGGGGAGCCGGCAAAACUACCCUUUUAAAACAAGUCAACAACAACUUCUGCCAUCAACAGCAUAAUUUUGAUGUUGUUAUCUGGGCGGCUGCGUCAACACUUCAAGAUGACAUUGGAAAAAGGAUUGGCUUUUCAGAAGACAGAAACUGGAAGGAAAAAAGUUUAUAAUUAACGAAAGGGCCUUUUUCUUUUUUUAAAUCCCGCUAAAGGUUAUAAUUAACAACAAAUUAAUAAUAGAAGAGAGAGAAAUACCAAGUUCAAUAUGGUAAUAUUUUAUCUUCCCUUAACUGCUCCCCUUUGGCUUAUAAUGCGACCUUUAUACUCGUUGACAAAAUUGUAUUUGUCGCUUAAGUCUUGUUUGUUUUAAAAUGCUGGCAUAUUUAUGGAGUGGGAACUAGGGAUGGCAAUGGAGUGGAUUUGAUCCAAGAUCCAUGUGAUCCAAAUCCAAUCGGAUCGGAUUUGGAUCGGUUUAAAAUGGAUUUGGAUAUCGAUGUGCGGAUCUAAGACAGAUAUGGAGCAGAUAUGGAUCUAUCUUAAUAUCUAAAUCCAUAUCCAUAUCCACUCAUCUUUUAAUUUUAUUUUAUUUUAAAAGUUUAUUAAUAAUUGUGGAAUGAUAAUGAUAAUAAAUUUUAUUCAUAGCAUAUUAGUAAUAUUUACCAUGAAUUUAAACUCUUAAAACUUAAAGGUUAGUUUUGUAAAUUUAAAGGUCAGCCAGCCUCAAAACAUGUACAUGCAAUAUUCAAAUUGCAAUCCAAGUAAUAUAACCUGGUAAUAUAUUUUAUCAUAUUGGCCAAAUAAUUUUUAAGGAAUAUAGUUAUUCAUAUAUUUAGUCAAAUGUGGUCAUAAUAAAAAUAAUAAAUGACUGAAUAUAAAACAUAUUUAAUUUAUAUAUCAUUAUCUAAUGUUGUAGGAAUGAGGGUAGGUGUAUCGUGAAUACUAGAAUGAUGAAGGAGACAAUAGAAUAUUAGAUUGAUCUUACUCCUGCAAUUACUUCUGAAUGAUAUUUUAUUAUCUUUCUUAUUUGUUGUUUUGGUAUAGAAGUAUAAGCUACAAUAUUUAUUAUAUUUUUGAGAAAAAUUAUAUAAUUUAUUUGUUAUCAAUACAUUUUAGCCUUCAAUUUUCAAUCUAAAAAAUUAUUACUUUUUUAUUACGGAAUUUUAGAAUUCAUGACGGAUCUAGAGCAGAUUUGGAUUUUAAUUUUUUUUCGGAUUUGGAGCAGAUAUAGAUAUUUAUUUCUUUUUUGGAUCUGGAUAUGGAGCGAAAAAUAUGGAUUCAUAACAGAUCUGGAGCAGAUACUGAUCUUGAUUUUUAUUAUGGAUUUGGAUCUGGAGCAGAGUAGAUCCAACCCAUAUCUGCCCCAUUGCCAUCCCUAGUGGGAACCCAGAUGCUGAACUCAUAGUAAAUAUUUAUUUAAUUUGUUAUAAUUACAUUUGGUGGGAUAAUUUUAAAUAUUAAUUUAACAAGAUAGUGAUGUUUGCCUUGCCCUACAUGAAGAAAAAUAAGUAAUUAAAGAUUUUUCUUUUCCUUUAUAUUAGUAAUAGAUUUCAAAUGGAAAACAGACAAAUUUCAUUUUUGUUUCAAUAAUUACCCUAUCACUGUGUGCGUGCGUGAUCACAUAAUUUUGUACUACCGUCUGUGGAAUAACUUUAGGAAAAGAAAAUUAAUUUUUUUUAAGUAAUGAUAAAUAUUUUAAAAUUUUAUCUUAAAUUGUUUUCUUCUCUUAUCAAUUUUUUUUUUCUCCUAUCUUCCAAUGAAAGUGCAGGACCUCAAUUAUUUUAAUAGAGAUGUAGUAAUAAAUUAUUAAUGAAACAUGUCAAAUCCAAUGUAUAGAUAAUAAUAAAAUGAGGCUAAUGCUAAGUUACAUACAUGUAACUUAGGGGAUCCAUAAAAUAAAUAUACAUGGUUUCAAAAAAGUUAGCACAUGCUUGUUACAAAUAUAAAACAUUAUCUUAAAAGUCUCUGAACUUUUGUGUUCUCUUUAACAUUUUUCUCUUAUGUUGUUUUUGUACUAUAUGGAUACAAGAGUGCGUUUGGCACGCUGUAUUAUAUUAUGUUGUAUUGCAUUAUUUUAAUGCAGGUGUAUUGCAUUAUGUUGUGUUGCAUUAGUAAUGUAUUAUAAUAAUGUUGUACAAUGUUUGGUACUAUAUUGUACUGUAUUAAUUUUUAAUUAUAUUAUAUUUGAUAUUGCACUAUAUUGUAUUAAUUUUUUGUGACUAAUUUAAAUUAUAUAUUUAGAAAAUACUAAUGAAUUGUGCUAAACAAUCUAAUAAUUAUAUAUUUUAUUAAUUUUUAAUUAAUAUUAUUCAAAUUUAUUCAUAUUUAAAUAUUAUUAUUAGUUAUAUUAAAUUAUUUAAAAAUAACUAGUUUAAUUAUUUUAAUAAAUUAAAUAAUAUUAUAUUAUAUUAUAUUAUUUAAGUAUUUAUUAUUAGUUAUAUUAACUUAUUAAAAAUUAAUUAAUUAAAUAUAUUAAUUGAUAUAAUUUUACAUAUUAAUUAAUAUAAUAUAAUUAAAUAAUACAUUUUUUAGUUGUACAUUUACUAUGAUAAAAAUUAAAAUAUAAUAUAAUAUUAUUAAACAAUAAAUUUAUUAAUUUAUAUUAAAAUUAUAAUGUAAAAAUAAUAUUAUAUAAUAUAAUAUUAAAUUAAAAAUUAUAUUCAUUUAUCAUUAUUACAAAGUAUAUAAAAAAAAAAAAAAAAGAGGAAGCUAAAACUAAAGUGGUAACUGGACGCAUUAGCUAAACCCGACUAUAUGUCGGGUUUAGCUAAUAUAGCCAUUUGGUACCCCAAACAUGGGGCUGCAUUGCUAAUGUAAUGCAAUCCCAGGUAAAGAGGGGUACCAAACAACCCCCAAGUUCACUUAAUGUAACAUAACAUACUUUUAUAUAUAUAUGUAUAUAUAUAUAUAUAUAUAUACACACUACGUGGAGGUGAGCUCCUUAAGGUGAGAUUUAUCAAAAUUAUAAAUUAUUACAACAUGAAAUUUAUUCUUAUUUAUAAUUGACCUAAUAUAAAUUAAGAUCGUUACUUUUAUAGCUACAUGAAAUUAUUCUUAUAUAAAAUAUCACUACAUAAAUGUUUUAUUGCAAUAUUGAUCUCUCUUUUUUCUUUAUUGUAUUUAUCUCUUCAUAAUCUUUUCCUUUUUAUUAAAAAAAAAUCAAAUAAAAGAUUCAUCAACAUCUCAGUCCAACAGUCUACCAGCGAAAACGAGUGUCCAUGCUUUUGAACCAAGGCCCAAUAUGUGAGGGAGAGAUUGUUGGGUUGUCUUAUAUCGGUUGUGAACUAGGAUGGGAUUGAAUGAGACCCAAAACUGCCUAACAUGAAUUCUAUCACUGGGAUUUUUACCCAGUAUAACAAACAUAACACAACGAAUUAUCAAUUUAUCACCUAAUGGCUCUAACUUUAGCGAUGAUCACCUUACAUGAACAUGAAAAUUAAUCCCAUUGUUUAACUCAACACUGACGAUAAUCACUUAAACUCUUAUGCACCGAAGGAUAUACUCGCUACAGGGAAUCUUAACUCAUAAAGAUGCUCCCACAUCUUCCAUUAAGUUUCCAUCGAACAACUAUUCAUAUCAUUCGAUGAAAAAUUAAUUUUAGUGAGGGCCAAAAGAGCACGAGUGAUCCAAACCACUAAACAACAUCAUAACCAACACAAAAUUCAUACUAAACAAACCAUUACCAAAACAGCAAAGCUAGACAUAAAUUUGAACAGAUACACAAGCUACAUUCAUUACCAUAAUGUAUCGACUAAAUUUCCAAGCUCUCCUGUGCUGCUUGUCUAACUGAUUCAAAUCCACAUAGAUAAAUUUAAGCACAUUAAGUUUUCAAACUCAAAUCAAACAGCUUUAAAAGUUACUUCACAAACAAUGAAUUUCAUUUUCGAAAUACAAAGAAUCCGUUCAGUUUAAAACAAUAAAAAAUCGUCUACGACUACUCAACUCAUGUAUUAUAACUAAAAAAACGAAGGAUACCCACAAAAAUUAAAGAUAAAUUACCAAAAACCCAAAAAACUCAAGCCAAAAUUGCCAAAAAAAAAAAAGCGAGAGAAUGGAAAUUGGGGUACCAGGGGCGGGCGAGAGGAAACGAGAAGAGGAAGAAAGAGGGGUUUUAGAGAGAGUGGGAAUUAGUGGAGGCAAAAAUGGAGAGUUUUGCCUCCACUAAUGAUUGGUGGGGUGGUGAUGGCGGUGGUGGGGUUAAUGUUCUGGAGGGUAUGCUGAAGAGAGGUCGCAAGAGAACCUCCAUAGCCUUUAAAGAGAGUUGAGUUGCUGCUUUCUUUUGCCGUGGAUGGAGAGAGAUUAAGGGAUUAGAAUUCUGUAUGGAAUUUACUUUUUAUUAAAUAAAAAAUUAAUGUUAAAAUCAUUUUAUUUUAUUUUUUUAUCUAGUUAUCAUUGACUUAAUAUUUUGGAUCUUCAUCCAAAGUAAAGGCACAAAAUUUUUAUUCUAAAUAAAUAUUCUCAAUAUAAAUUUAUCACUUAAAUAAUAAAUGAUAAGAUUUUAUAUUAAUUCUGUCAUUACUGAAAUGAAUUACAAAUUUUAUAUGACGUGUAAACGUAUCAUUAUAUUCUUGAUAUUUGACAUCUUGACUAAAGCAACAAAUGUAUCAUAUUUUUAUUUUGGUAUUGUGGUUCUCUAAAAAUACCCUCACCAAAUUAGCUUAAUUCUUUUCAUUGUACCCAUUGCUUCUCUUCCUCUUUUCGUCAACGACAAUGGGUAACUUAAUCUCAACCUUCUUACCAGCAGACUUAUUUGAUCGAACUUCAAACUGCGUUGGUGAACAAGCAAAAUAUGUAUGGGGUCUCGAAAAAAAUCUUCGGGUCUUGGAGACUGAAUUGCACAAAUUGACUCGAGCAAGGGCCGAUCUGAAGACCAAGGUUGAGGUCGAAGAACAACGACCUCGAACCAGACGAACGAACCAGGUCGCAGGGUGGCUUGAAGAUGUGCAAAAUCUGGAAACUGAAUUUACCGAGCUGGAACGAGUUAGAGCUCAUGAAAUGGAUAGAUUGUGCCUUGGAGGCCUCUGUUCCAAAAACUUCGUUUCAAGCUACAAUUAUGGGACUCAGGUGGUCGAGUUGACGGAUCGAGUGAUCAAUUUAAAGAAAGAUGGAGAAAAAAUUGAAGUCGUUGUUGAGAAGGCGCCGGAUGGUGCAGCAAUUGAAUUACCUCUUGAUCACACAGUUGUUGGUCAAGAAUUAUUACUUGAUCAAGUUUGGAGAUGUAUCACUGAUCAGGAAAAUAACAGGGGAAUUAUCGGCUUGUAUGGUAUGGGGGGAGUCGGCAAAACUACCCUUUUAAAACAAGUCAACAACAACUUCCGCCAUCAACAGCAUAUUUUUGAUGUUGUUAUCUGGACGGCUGCGUCAACACUUCAAGAUGACAUUGGAAAAAGGAUUGGCUUUUCAGAAGACAGAAACUGGAAGGAAAAAAGUCUUCAAGACAAGGCUGUGGACAUCGCUAGCAUUUUAAGCGGAAAGAAGUUUGUGUUGUUAUUAGAUGAUGUAUGAGAGCGCAUUGAUUUAACAGAAUUGGGUGUCCCUCUUCAAAAACUAAAUGAUGGGUCCAAAGUAGUCUUGACAACUCGUUCAGCUGGUGUUUGCGAUCAAAUGGACGCUGAAAAGUUGGAAGUGUAUAGUUUGGCGCAUGAUAAAGCCUGGGAAUUAUUUCAGGAGAUGGUCGAAAGAUCCACUCUUGACAGUCAUACCAGUAUUCCAGAGCUAGCCGAAACCUUGGCAAGAGAGUGUGGUGGGUUGCCGCUAGCGCUUAAAAUAGUGGGUCGAGCGAUGAAAAGCCAAAGGAAAGUUGGAGAUUGGAAACGUGCAAUUAACAAAAUGAGAACAUCAGCUUCUAAAUUCUCAGGUAUGAAGGAAGAGGUGUUUUCGCGUUUAAAGUUCAGCUAUGAUAGUUUGUCUACGGAUGAACUUCGUUCCUGUCUCCUGUAUUGUUAUUUAUAUCCUGAAGACUACGAAAUUCCUAAAAGGGAAUUGAUUGAUUAUUGGAUUAGUGAAGGAUUUGUGUAUGAUUUUGAUGAUGGAUGCGAUUUUAUUGAUGACCUUCUUCAAGCAUGCUUAUUGGAGGAAGAAGGCGAUGAUCAUGUAAAGAUGCAUGAUAUGAUUCGUGAGAUGUCAUUAUGGAUAGCGUGCACGGUAGACAAGGAGGAGCAGAACUUUCUGGUUCGCGCUGGAGUUAAAUUGACCGAAGCACCAAAGGUUGAAGAAUGGGAAGGUGCCAAACGGAUAUCUCUGACGGCAAAUGGAAUUGGAAGCCUAUCGGAAAUUCCCACGUGUCCACGUCUCGUCACUUUACUUCUGGAUGGAAAUCGGAUUGAGGAGAUUACUGAUGGCUUCUUUCAAUCUCUGUCGACUCUUAGAGUAUUAAGUCUAAGAGGAAAUUUUCCCCCAAGUACACUACCUUCAGGGAUUUCAGGUUUGGUUUCAUUACAUCAUCUUGAUCUUUCUUCGACUGACAUAACUGGGUUGCCGCAAGAGCUGAAGGCAUUGGAGAAGCUGAGAUAUUUGAACUUGGACUAUGCAUUUCAUUUGUCUAUAAUUCCACAUCAAUUGAUAUCUUGUUUUUCAAAGUUGGAGGUACUCAGGUUGUGUGGGUGCGGUCGCUUUGGUGUAAUAAAAGGGAAAGAAGGUAACGUUCUAUGUGAUGGUGCUGAACCUUUGAUGAAGGAAUUGCUGGGUUUGAAGCAUUUAAAUGUUUUAAGCUGGUCCUUCGGAAGUUCACUUGCUGUCCAAAAGUUUUUGAAAUAUCCAAAGCUGGUGAGCAUCACUCAAUCUGUAUGGGUUGAAUGUGGCACGUAUACAAGGCCACCGUUCAAUGUCUUACAUCUGGCAUACAUGGAGAAUCUUCAGGAGUUAGAACUUGAAUCCUGUAAUUUGGAAGAGAUGAAGAUUGACAGCACAGAAGAGGUAAAGAAACUUUUUCGAAAUGGUUUCCGCAAUCUUAACACAGUUGUCCUAAGGUCUUGCAGAGGGAAGGACUUAACGUGGCUUGUUUUUGUUCAAAAUCUCAAGCAGCUAAAUAUGCAGGGUUUUACUAUGGAAGAGAUAAUCAGUGUUGAAAAAUUGAGUGAUAUUUCAGAGGUAAUCGGGUCAGAGCAUAACUUUUUCCCACGACUCGAAUAUCUAACCAUGUGGCGGGGAACAAAUUUAAAGAGCGUUUACCCGAAUCCCCAGCCUUUUCCAAAGCUGAAGAAAAUUCAAGCAUUUCAUUGCCGACAGCUGUAGAAGCUCCCACUCAAUUCCAGCAGCGCGAAGGGACGUCGAGUUGUGAUGACAAUGCUAUAUUUGCUGCAGGACUUGAGUAAAAAUAAAAACAGCAAGAUUUGAUUAUGCUGUCAAUAAAAUCCUGCAAGAUUGUAGGAAAAAAAUUUGUUUUUAAAUUUUAUGAUAUCAGAUAUAUGUUAAAGAUAUGUAGGCAGAUUUUUUGGCUUUGUUUGUUUCUUUUCAUGUAUAAAUUCAAAUACUGCAAUAAUGAAUAAAAUACUGCAAUUAACAGACCCAAUUUCUAUGUGUUCUCUUUUCUUUGUUUAAAACCAACAAGGUGGUAUCAGAGCCCUUAUUCUUAAGGGACUUGUAACGUGAUUAGAGAGGCUUCCUACACUUCAAUAUGGCAGGAAAUGGUUUCUUAUCUGCUCCUCCAGUUUUCACAGGUGAAAAUUAUCAAAUAUGGGCUGUGAAAAUGGAAUCUUACUUGGAUGCAUGUGACCUAUGGGACUUGGUGGAAGCAGAUCCAGAGGAUCCACCAUUAGCUCAUAUGAGGAAUAACAGGGAUGAAAGAAAAUGGAGAUAUAAGGCCAAGACAUGCAUUCACUCUGCAGUUUCGGAGACAAUUUUUACAAAGAUCAUGACUUGUGAAACAACGAAACAGGCAUGGGAUCUUUUGAAACAAGAAUAUCAGGGGAACGUCAGGACAAAACAAAUGCAGGUCCUGAACCUGAGAAGGGAAUUUGAAAUGUAGAAAAUGAAGGAGACAUAAACAGUUAAUGACUAUAAAGACAAGUUGAUGAUGAUUGCCAAUAAAAUUAGAAUGCUUGGGGAAGAGUUUUCUGAUAGAAGGAUUGUAGAGAAGAUUUUGGUGACCUUGCCUCAGAGAUUUGAAUCUAAAAUCUCUUCACUUGAAGAGUCCAGAGAUAUGUCAACAAAGGAGAGCUUACAGAAAGGAGGAGAUAGUUGAAGGAGCAUUUCAAGUGAAAGAGGCUGAUCAAGCUCAGGGAGGCAGCAAAGAAAAGAAACAGUGGAGUAAGAAGAUUUACAAGAAGGGGGAAAGUAGCAUCAAUGAAGGCAACAAGGGCAAGCACUCCCCGUGUCCUCACUAUAAGAAAACCUCUCAUCCGCAAAAGAAAUGUUGGUUUAGGCCUGACAUUCAAUGCAGGGCAUGCAAGCAAAUUGGGCAUAUGGAGAGGGUGUGUAAAAACAAACAGCAAGAAGGACAUCAAGCUCAAGCAGCAGAACAACAACAGGAUGAACAACUUUUUGUUGUAUCUUGUUUUUCGAGUAACAGUUCGAGUGAUGAUUGGCUCAUCGACAGCGGAUGCACAAAUCACAUGUCUUUUGAUGAAUCUCUUUUCAAAGAAGUAAACAAGUCAGAAGUGUCAAGAGUUAAAGUUGGCAAUGGGCAGUAUAUUGAAGUGAAAGGUAAAAGGACAGUUGCAAUAAAAAGCUCAGCAGGUAUCAAGUUAAUUUCUGAUGUAUUACUUGUUCAUAAAAUUGAUCAAAAUCUACUGAGUGUGGGACAAUUGCUUGAGAAAGGUUAUUCUGUUGAAUUUAAGAAUAACAUGUGUGUCAUUACUGACCCAAAUGGUGUAGUGUUGUUCUCUGUGAAAAUGAAUAGCAAAAGCUUCAGCUUAAGUUGGAACAAGGAUGAAUGUAGUGCAUAUCAAUGUACUUUGAACCAGGCUGAGUUAUGGCACAAGCGGAUGGGGCAUUUUCAUUAUUCUGCAUUAGAUUACAUGCAGAAAAAUGAUCUUGUGCAAGGAAUGACUUUCAAUGGAGGAGGAGCAUCAGUGUGUAGAGUCUGUCAGCUGGGAAAACAAGCUAGAUUGCUAUUCCCUGUUAAUAAGGCAUGGAGAGCAGUUGAGAAGCUUCAGUUAAUCCACACAGAUGUUUGUGGACCUAUGAGGACUGCAUCCUUAAAUGGUAAUAGGUACUUCAUGGUUCUUAUUGAUGAUUUUAAUAGAAUGUGUUGGAUUUACUUUCUCAAACAAAAAUCUGAAGUUGCUAGUGUAUUUUGGAAGUUUAAAAAAUGGAUUGAAAAUCAAAGUGGUUGUAAAAUCAAGGUGAUUAGAUCUGAUAAUGGGACUGAAUAUACAGCUGAUAAAUUUGCUAAGUUUUGUGAAGCUGCAGGGAUUGAACAUCAGCUUACAACAACCUAUACACCUCAACAAAAUGGAGUCAGUGAGAGGAAAAACAUGACAGUCAUGGAGAUGGCUAGAUGUUUGUUGUUUGAGAAGGAAAUGCCAAAAAUGUUUUGGGCUGAGGAUGUUAAUACUGCUGUAUUUCUGCAAAACAAGUUACCAACAAAGGCUUUAAAGGGAAAAACACCUUUUGAAGCUUGGUUUGGUUUUAAACCCUCUAUUCAUAACUUGAGAAUUUUUGGUUGCAUGUGUUUUACUCAUGUUCCAGAUGCAAAAAGAGAGAAGUUGGAUCAAAAGGCAGAAUAUGGAGUUUUUGUAGGAUACAACACUCUCACCAAAGGUUAUAGAGUUUAUCAACCUUUGACGGGAAGAAUCAUAGUGAGUAGAGAUGUUAAAUUUGAUGAAACUGGAGGAUGGAAUUGGGCAACAGCUGAACCAAAGCAAGUUUAUGCAGAAGAAAAAACAUCAGAAUUGCAAGAUGAUGAUAUAAUUGAUGAUGAACCAAUAAGAGGUACCAGACCACUUAUAGAAAUUUAUCAAAAGUGCAAUAUGGUUGUGCUUGAACCUGCAGGUUAUAAUGAGGCUGCUAAAGAUCCAAAGUGGCUUGAACCAAUGGAAGAUGAGAUCAAGAUGAUUCACAAGAAUCAAACUUGGGAGUUGGUGGACAGACCACUACACAAGAAAACUAUUGGUGUGAAAUGGGUUUAUAGAACCAAACUCAAUGCUGAUGGUUCUGUAAACAAAUUCAAAACAAGGCUAGUUGUAAAAGGGUAUGCUCAACUAUUUGGUGUUGACUUUUCUGAAACGUUUGCACCUGUAGCAUGGCUGGACACCAUCAGAUUGCUUUUAGCACUUGCAGCACAAAAGCAGUGGAAAAUCUACCAGCUUGAUGUUAAAUCAGCUUUUUUAAAUGGCUAUUUGGAUGAAGAAAUCUUUGUUGAGCAACCUGAGGGUUUUGUUGCAGAUCUGAAGAAAGUAUAUUUGUUAAAAAAAGGCAUUAUAUGGCUUGAAGCAGGCUCCAAGAGCUUGGUACAGCAGGAUUGAUGAUCAUUUGCUGAACAUAGGCUUCAACAAGAGCAUGAGUGAAUCAACUUUGUAUAUUCAAGUAAUUAAUCAUGAAUUGAUUGUUGUUUCACUUUAUGUUGAUGAUUUUCUUGUCACAGGAAGCAAUGAAGAAUUAGUGAAGCAAUUUAAGGUUCAAAUGAUGCAAGCAUUUGAAAUGACUGAUCUAGGAGAGAUGACUUUCUUUUUAGGUCUGGAGAUUCAAAAGUCACAGCAAGGGAUCUUCAUUGGACAGCAAAAAUAUGCUAAAGAAGUGCCAAAGAAAUUCAACAUGGAGGAUUGCAAGUCAGUAUGUACUCCUUUAGCUCAAAAUGAGAAAUUUAGUAAAGAUGAUGGUGCUGAAAAGAUUGACGAAGCAUUAUAUAGGAGUAUUAUAAGUUGCUUGAUGUAUUUGACAGCAACAAGACCUGAUAUAAUGUUUGAUGUAAGUUUGCUGUCCAGAUAUAUGCAUUGUGCAAGUGAAUUGCACUACAAAGCUGCUAAAAGGGUGCUCAGGUAUAUCAAGGGAACUUUGGAUCAUGGAAUAAAAUUUGAGAAGGAAGACAAGCUGAUUUUGCAUGGUUUUGCUGAUAGUGAUUGGGCAGGAUCCUGUGAUGAUAUGAGGAGCACGUCAGGCUACUUGUUUAGUCUUGGUUCAAGUUGUUUCUGUUGGAGUUCAAAGAAGCAGGAAAUCGUAGCUCAGUCUACUGCUGAGGCUGAGUAUGUUGCAGCUGCUGCUGCAGUCAAUCAAGCCUUAUGGCUAAGGAAGCUUAUGACAGAUUUGAAAAUGAUUCAGGAUUAUGCAACUGAAAUCUUUGUUGAUAAUCAAGCUGCCAUAGCAAUUUCUAACAAUCCAGUGUUCCAUGGGAAGACAAAGCAUUUCAAAAUUAAAGUAUUAUUUUGUUAGAGAAGUCCAGAAGAAUGAUGAAGUAAGGCUCGUGUAUUGCAAGACUGAAGAUCAGCUAGCUGACAUUUUGACAAAGGGACUGUCAAAGUCAAGAUUUGAGUUGUUGAAGAAAAGAAUUGGUGUCUGCAGCAAAAAUAGCAAGGAGGAGUGAUGACAAUGCUAUAUUUGCUGCAGGACUUGAGUAAAAAUAAAAAUAGCAAGAUUUGAUUAUGCUGUCAAUAAAAUCCUGCAAGAUUGUAGGAAAAAAAUUUGUUUUUGAAUUUUAUGAUAUCAUAUAUAUGUUAAAGAUAUGUAGGCAGAUUUUUUGACUUUGUUUGUUUCUUUUCAUGUAUAAAUUCAAAUACUGCAACAAUGAAUAAAAUACUGCAAUUAACAGCCUCAAUUUCUUUGUGUUCUCUUUUCUUUGUUUAAAACCAACAAAUUGUCAUCGAGGGAACGAAAAAAUGGUGGGAAGAGCUACAAUGGGAGGAUCAAGCCACCCAAAAUGCUUUCUUUUCCUGUGCCGUACUUUGGGAGGAUCCUUAUUAUUAAUAUGUUUGAAUAUGUAUUUCCUUUUUCUUUUUUUUCUUGCUAUAGAGUUGCAUGAUUGUGAUGAUCCUUAUUAUUAUUAUCCUUUUUUUUUUUCACAUGAAGUUCAGUAACUACUUCCGAGAUUAAUAAGAUCCAACUCGUUUUUGGUUUAGUCAAAAACUUUUUGUGGCUCUAAAUCCUUUUUAACACCAGGCCAGGCAUCCACAAAUAUAUUGACACCAUUUUAUUUAUUGAUGUUUAUAUAACUGAAUUGAUUACAAAUUACCCUUUUUGUCCAGUGUGUUCAGAAUAUACUCUGCACAACUAACACAAAAAUAAACAUGUAACAUACUAAUCGUUUAUGUUAAUUUAUGGAGGCCUUAUUGUCCAAGGCAUAUGUAAAACCAUUUCACAUUCGGCAUUGUAAUGUUUAUGGACGGAUUUAAAUGAUGUCACACAAAGUCACAAAUAGUUAAAAAAAAGAAGGUGUUUGUUUUAAAAUGUUGGCAUAUUUAUGGAGUGGGAACUCAGAUGCUGAACUCUGAAUGGGCUGGAAUCGGAAUGGGUUAGAAUCGGAAUGAGCCGGAAUGAGAAUGGGGAAUGAGAGUCAAAAUAAGUUGUUUAUUUGAACUGUAGGAAUCGAAAUCGGAAUGAGUUAGAACCCCAUUAAUGUGUUUACUUUAUCUAAGAAUCGAAAUCGGAAUAAGUUAAGUUGUUUUAAGUUACUAAAACACCCUUAGUUGUUAAUAAUAAUAAUAAUAGUUGUCCUUUGGUAUUAAUGAUAAUAAUAAUAAAUUUAAUAAUAACAUUAUAAAUAAAUAAAUAAUAGUAAUAAUUAAUGAUAAUAAUGAAAUUAAAUAACAACUACUAAUACUACAAUAAUAAUAAUAAUAAUAAUAAUAAUAAUAAUAAUAAUAAUAAUAAUAAUAAUAAUAAUAAUAAUAAUAAUAAUAAUAAUAAUAAUAACAACAACAACAACAACAUUAAUAACAAAUAAGCAAACAAUGAAAUAAUACAAACACCAAUCUACAUAAUUUUAAUGUACAAUAAGUGGCCGAACAAUAUAAGAAAUUAAUAAUUUAAAAUAUAAAAUUAUAAUUCCCAAAACAAACAUUGUGCUCCUCUUCACCGGAUGUAGCAGAUCGCGACGAAAAAUGGCGGCAGGAUGAGCGCGACCACGGUGGCAACAGAUCGAUCGGGACCACGGCGGCAGAUCGUGACGAACGAAAGCAGCAGAUCGCAGCCUUUUGACACCCCCUCGAAGACCCUCCUUUAAAUUCCUUAUAACUCUUUAAUUAAAAUUAUUUAAAUAAUUAAAGAUAAAUUAAUUCCAUUUUAUUUUGAUGGAAAAUUUAAUUAAUACUUAAAUAAAAUUAUUCUUUUAACAUUUUUCCACCCACCUCAUUUCAUAUAUAUAUAUAUAUAUAUAUAAUUUUUAGAAACUUUUAAUAAUUUAUAAUCUUUUUAAGGUGAAAUUUAAUGAGAAGAUUAUUAAUUUUAAUUUAUGGAUUAGUAUUUUAUAAAUUAAACCAAGGUACUUUGAUAAAUAAAAAUUAAAACAAGUUUUAUAAGGAUUUUGGAGUGUACGAAUUCAGAAUAUAGAUUUUCAUGGGGACGUUGAAUAUGCUGAAGCUGAAGCUAUGAAUUUUAGAAUAAAAAUGGCAAUAGACUUUGGUUUAAUGCCAUUAAUUGUUGAAUCAGACUCGAAUACUAUUUUAAACUUGGCGAAAGGUUUUGAAAGAAGUAUGAAAGAAAUAUCAUGGUUAAUUUUCGAGAUUCGAAAUUGUAUGGUUGUGAAAGACCACUUCGAAAUCAAUCUUACAUAGAGAAGUAGUAGUGAGACCACUCAUAAAUUAGAUAAAUAUGAUGUUAACAAUUCAGGCUGUGUAAUUUGGUUGGAGGAAAUUUCAACUCAUGUAAGUCUUUUUCCUUUAAGCGAUUAAUUGAAGUUUUCCAUUUCCAAAGAGAGAUAGAGAGAGAGAGAGAGCUCAACUCAAAUGAAAGUACGAAACAAAGAGUAAAUCCUGAUAGUAGAAAAAUGAGCCAUGAGUAGAACUAUUCGCACCUUUGAAAGCCCUCAUAAAAAUCUUUCUUCAAUAUGUCCCGCUAAAUCAUUUAAAAAAUAAUAUUAUUUCUAAGGGCAGAGCUAUUUGCACUCUAAAAAUUAUUCUCAACGUUUUAUUACUAUAUACACAUAUUUAUUAAUUUAAAAAAAUGAACUAUAUUUUGUACAACUAUGAUGCCACUUCCACCUCCAAUUGAAUGUCAGAAAAUUCAAAGUUUGUCAAAAGAGGAUGGUAAAUUAAGCCCCCUUUUUUUUUUAAUCUGGAUUUGGUUGAACAUUUUUAUGUCGCAAAAAUGUUUGCUGUGUUGUAAUGCCUAAGUGUUGCAGACUAGUUUGUAAGAGUCUGAAUAAUUGUCCAUGUUACUCUGGUAUUGUGGAAUGCCAUGUAUUUUUUGGCCAAAAGAAAAAAUCAAGCAACCAAUGUAAACUUGUUUAAUAUCAUCAUAAUAUAACUGAAAAAGAAGUAAUUAUAGUCAUACAAAAAAAAUUAAUAAUUGUCAUGUCCUUAAUAAUAAUUUAUAUCAUAAAUAUUAUUGAAAUAAUUUUUUUUUAUAAAAUUAUCAGUGUUUAGUGUAAUUUUUAGAGUGUAUAUAGCCUCAUUCUAUUUCUAAACCCACAUAAGUUGAUUCCAAAAACACCCUUGGCUUACACACCAACCCCAUUUUCACAUUUUCUUCGUCUUGGGGAGCUUGAAACCCAAAUCUGAUGGCUUCAACUUUCGAAUAAUCAUUAUCUCCAUUAGAACUUAUAAUUUUAAAAGCUAUUUCCAUAAUAUUUUCAUUAGAAUUUCUUAUAACAACAUCCAACAUUGGUUAUUGAUAUUUUAAGGUUUCAUCUUAAAUAAUAAUAACAAAAUAAUUAAAAUUUUAUCAAAAUUUAAGGAAAUACAUUGUACUUUGAUAAACAAGGAAUGUCAACUAAAUAUCGUCAAAAUAAAUAAUAAAUUUUUAAGUCGAGUUUUGGUUUCACAUAAUUGUAAUUAUGGAGACUAGUUAUUCGAAUAAAAUUUAAUUUCUUCUGUUUAUCAUUGUAACUUUACAUAGGGACAAUUGCAUGAUUAUAAAGGCAGGGUUUGAUAAGGAUUUUUUGGAGGUACCAAUAGGACCACUCAUGAGCCAUGACAAAAUUAAGCCCAUGCGAGGCCCACCUAAUCCAUUUUUACAUUUAGCCAAUUAGCCUGAAGAAUAAGACGAUAAUAAACAGUAAGCCUAAAUAAUAAGAUGAUAUGAAAGUAAGAAUAAGGUUAAGAUACCAAUUUUUUAGUCUUAACUUCUUAAGUCUUAAGUCUUAAUGUAACAUGUCAUUCAUUUAUUAGACGAUAAAUUUCAUAACUUGUAAAAUUAUUUAACCACCAUCCAAUAAAUGAUUGUCAUAUCUAUUGAAAUUUAAAUUUAAAUUUUAGAAUACUUAGCAUUGAGCUGAAUCUAAACGAUUUUAUUUUCUAUUAUUUUUAUUUUAUUUUAAUUUUUUUUCACAAUCGGAUUUUUCUUUGAGACAAUAGAAAGCCUUUUGGCUUUAAGUUUCUGAAAACCAAUAAUAAAAAAUUAUCCAUGAGUUUCUGAAAACCAAUUAACUUCAAAAUCUCUUCCAGCGCUAGGAGGAACAUCUUCAAUAACUUUUUCAUGACCUUUUGGGUAAUAAAUCCCAGUUCUUUCAUGAGGAACCCAGCUACAAUUCCCUUCAUUUUCUCCCACAUUAUUAUUCAUCUGCUGGCUCCUCAUCACAUUUCCUUCUUCCGCAUUGGAUUUCAAUGCUGUUUCUCUUAUCAUAUCAUUAGAACUUGCUUUCUUUUGAAAGGAUUUCCUCAUUAUUGGCCUAUAUGUUUCAAAAAGACUUAACAAAUUAAUAAUGUAAAAACAAAGACUAAAAUAUUCAAACACUCAAAUGAAUGAAAGUAAUCUCUUUUUAUUAUUGCGUGGACAGUGGCGAAAUCAGGAUUUUGGAUGUCAUCAAUAAUAGAGAAACAACAAAUUUUAAGUAGGUUAUAACACAAGAAUAUAAACAUAUGGGGGCUACAAAAUAAAAUUAUCAGACAUAAGGAUAAAUUUAAUUGAAGACUUUCAUAUUUCUUGAUAAUGUUUUUUAACCUGAGUCCCCUGUGGAGACAUAUUGAUUCAGUUAAUAAAACAUUUAAUUCUAUGUACUUAACCAACCACUCAUAAUUAGUAAUUACAUAAUUUGAAACUAUUAGGCCUAUUUCGAACGAACUGUUUCAUAACAAAAUUAAUUUAGAUAAAGUGAAAAGAUUUAUUUACAAACAUACCAUGCAAUAAUGAAGUGCGAUUGUCAAAAUGAAAUGAUGAAAUAGCAAAGUAGAUAGAUAAAAACAUGGAGUUAAAGGUGGGAGCUCCUCUAGCAAAUGAUCCUGUCAUCUUUUUCUUCUUUUUUCUCUCACUUUCUCUCUUUCCAAACAAUGUGGGUGGAAUGAAUUGAAUUAUGAUUUAGAUAGAGAGCUCUUUACAUAGUGAAGUUAAAUAAGAGAAUAUUGUUAUCUAUUUCUCUCAUCUCUAGGGAGAUCGUUUAUUGUACGUCAUUUUCUGUUUGGAUAAAUAUUAAAUUAUAACACUCUUUCUUGAUCAUUGGGGAGCACUCAUUGCAGAGCAUGGCCUUCUUUUGUUCCCUUUUGUUUUGUUUUUGUUUUUUAGUCAUCUAAGUUAUGGGACAUGGCUUGUGGACUCAGCUUUUAGAAACUUUCCCUAGAUAAGUAGUUGAAUCUAGGGGAGGUACUUUUUAGUUUUAUAAGUGACAUUGAUUCACCUCAUGAUUAGUGGCCAGAGAGAAUAAUUACGAAAAAAAAAUUUUAAUUGUUAAUUAAUUUUGUUGAAUAUAUUAAAAUAGCCAAGUUAAAUUUAUAAAAAUAGUUUCAUAAACUCUUAAAUCCAUAAAAUUUUAAUUUUGAGGAUUACAAAAACCACACUUUAACAGAUAUACAAAAAGAUUGUAAAGAUAUAAGAUGAGUCGUUAAUAAUUGCACGUGCAAACAUCGUAUAUUCUUUAUAAUUAAUUGUGCAGAUUUUCAUGACCAAUGCACCAGAUUUUGAUGACCAAUGCACCUGGGUGCGAAAACAAAAAUUAGAACAAAAUAUAUUAAUAAGGGAAGGCCACUCUUUUGUCAAUAUAUAUAUAUAUAUAUAUAUAUAUAUAUAUAUAUAUAUAUAUAGAGUUUGUUAUAAAAGAUUACCUCAGUAUCAAACUCUCCCGAUUCAACAUUGACAUUGAUGACAGUGAAAAUCUUUACAAGAUCCACCAAUAAUCCAGGUCGAUCAGCCGUCUCCACCAAAAGCAAACUUCAAUAAAACAAAAGGUAAACUAAACAAAAAUAGUAAGGACCAAAUUAUCUGACUACUUCAGUUAUGGGCAGGAAUUGCCACUUGGGCUGGAGUAUGAGUAGUAAUAAUGUGGGACCAAAGUUUGGUGGAUAGCAAAAGCCCCAUCAUCUAGAUAAGAGAAUGAAUUAUGCAUUGCCUUCGGUUGGGGCCAUCAUCAUAGAUGCUUAUGUGGGUUGCUAUGUCCACAUCAACCUGACAAAUUCCAGCACAACAAGAUUUGAGACAAGAUUGAAGUGGGACGUUAUCCUUCCCAUAAUAACUCAUAUACGUAGUUUUUAACAUUCACAACAUGAUAUUAAUUUCAAUGGCAGGCAAAUUGAAUAUAAUGUCUUUAAAGAAAAUGAGGAUAAAAGUGAAGUAAUAUUUGGCCUAAGAGAACUCUAAAACAACUUAGUUUCCUAUUCAAAUGAUCACUAGUGAGAAGAGCCAAAAAUAUCAAUAAUCUGAAAAAUCAAAAUAAGACCAGAAAGCAAAAACCUGUUGUUUUGGAGGAUCAACGCCAAAGGCAACACCCAUUGCCAACUGGGAACUUGAUUCCUGAUUCCAUCACCAACACAAAUGGAAUAAGCUUUUGAAUAAGACAAUUCCUACAGGUGCUCCACCAAGUGAUAUCUCAAGAGAGACAAAAAAAAAUGAUUACCGGGUGAUACUGAAGUAGAUUGUUUAUAACUGUCAAACAAAUUGCCUCAAGCACCUCAGGAUCAUCAACUUUCCUACCAGUAUCACCGCACACAAGCAUCAUGACCAAAUUAAUCAAAACCACAGUGGGAAUCUAUUGCAAGAACUGCUCCAAAAAACACCGAUGGCUCUUUGGAUCAUUGAUUUUAGGUUCUAGUAUGUCCAAAAUUUUAACGAUUUCAACAUUAGUGAUAAACAUCUAUUUGCAACAGACUGAUCAUACUUGUAUAUGGAGCAUCACAAGUAGGUAUUUACUAUGCUCAUCAAAUAUAGACCAGAAGACGUUGACAACAAUUAAAGGGUAUUAGUGAAUGAAACUGCAAGCAGAGAAUACAAAUCAGCUCAGUAAUGCAAGGGCAUGAAAAGCAAAAUGCAUAUGCAUCACAAAAUUAUAGAGAUAUAUAAUUUCGCAGUCAUAUGAUGAUAUUGCAGCGGUGAAGCCGUGCGUGAGGUUAAGGCAAGCGAUGGAAUGACUUGCGUUACAAAAGAGGUAUUUGCAAUGAUUGUGUACUGGACGGAAAUUGAAUCCAUGUUUAAGAAUUUACCGCCGGGGAAAAAAUGUCAAUACAAAGUCAAUGCGAACGAAUAGUGAAGUCAGCAGUCGCAAAGGCAAAGUUCUUAACCAGAUGGACUCCAGAUAGAUUAGCGGUGGCAGUUUCACAGCUGACAGAUGAACAAAGAAUGGCUGCUUGUCAAAUGGGCUUUGGUAGUUUUCUACAACUGAACCGUGGCAAGCUAAAAAGGAAACUUUGUGGCUAGUUAAUUGAGAUGAUUGAUACUUUGAGGUACAUUUUAGAGUUGAAUGGUAUUAGCUUUCGAACAAGAUCAUCAAAGAAACUCCACCAACCAGGAAAUUUAGACUUAAUCUAUGCUCUGCAAAUUCAUAUACUCUCUAAUAUGAAACUACUUUUAUGUGUUUUGUUAUUCCGACUUGGUAACGUUGUUAUGGAAGCCUGACAACUAUUAUGUCCGUGCAAUUUUUAUUGUAUCUUUUGUUAUGUCAUGAUAUCGAAGCUUGGUUUUCUGACUCCAACUACUAAGAACUGCAGUUGCAGCAUCUUUUGAAUAUUACAUAUGUGCUUGUAGUGUCUCCACGGAUUAAAAUCUGCUAUUUAAGUUCUUCUACCGCCCCCGCUUCUUCUUUCAUUUAUACUUGCUGCACCAUUUACUUCACACUCUGUAAAGCCAUAUGAAAGCUUGUUCAUUUAUGUUCACUUGCAAUUCAAAAGCAGUGUUUAUUUCAACUGUCAAAUUGACUACUUGCACGUAUUGAUUUCAGUCGAAACAAGGUUAUUGGUCGAUCCAGAAAUUGAAUCCAUAUGGCCAUUCCAGCAUCAUUCAACCACCUAAUUUCAAAUAUAUAAAUUAAUUCAACCCACUUAAGUGAUCAAAGGCGUGGAACAAAUCAUGAAAGAUUUUUCAGCUAUCAUAAAUUCGAACGGAUGUAGUUUGUAUUCUUUCAGGCUUAGACAGAUUUUUUGCAACAUAAACUUGUAUGUAAUGUACAUUUUUUUGUUCCUUACAAAUUAAUUGCUGCUAAAAUAAUUGUUUCGACCAAUAUUUAUUGUUAUAAUAGAGAAACCUUUUCUUGCAACUCAAACAGUUCCGAUGGCAUGAUCUGCAUCCCCUGUUUGCCUCUUGGGCUGCACGAUCUUGCUCCUUUUCAUCAAACGGCAACUUCGCUGCAGACAAAAAGAGGGGGUACAGUGCGCAGGGGCACCGUAGAUGUAGCCCAAAAAGAUGAUUUUGUCCCUCCAUGUCUAAGUAUUUUAACCAAAAAAUAAUAAUAAUUCCUUACAUCAUCAAUGAUUGCACUUGUAAAUCUAAGGGAUUAGAAUUCUGUAUUGAAUUUAUAUUUUAUUAAAUAAAAAAUUAAUGUUAAUUUUUUUUUUUUUUUAUCUAGCUAUCAUUGACUUUAUAUUUUGGAUCUUCAUCCAGAAUUAAGGCACAAAAUUUUUGUUCUAAAUAAAUAUUCUCAAUAUAAAUUUAUCACUUAAAUAAUAAUGAUAAGAUUUAAUAUUAAUUCUAUCAUUACUGAAAUGGAUUACAAAUUUUAUAUGACUUGUAAACGUAUCAUUAUGUUCUUGAUAUUUGAAACAUGAAUCAAGCAACAUAUGUAGCAUAUUUUUAUUUCAGUGUCGUGCUUCUCUAAAAAUUGUUGAAAGCAGAAGCCAAGCUGGCAUGCCUCCUGAGCUGGUGUGGUAGGUGAGUUGGAUUUGUUGAGCUGGCAAAUGAAAUUAUUUAUGAUGAUGCUGUGAAUUUAAUUGUCGUAUAAUGUUUGUGUAGAAUUAAGAAUGGAAGACAAUGUCGAUGAUGACAAGAAGAAUAGCAGCGCAUGUGAAUUGAAUAGUUGCAUCUUCUAGAAGCUUAAUGUGAUUGGUUCACAAUUGAAUUGAAUAGUUGCAUCUGCUAAUGAAGAAUAGCAGCGCAUGUGAAUUGAAUAGUUGCAUCUUCUAGAAGUUUGUCUCUGUAUGCAAACUAGCAAAGCUCUGUAUUUCAUUUUCAUUCAAGUCAUCAUAAUCAAUAAAGGCCUGAUUCUCAUACUCUGUUUGCAUUUGAAAGCAAUUCUUAAGAAUUUAAGUAAAAUGACCCUCACCAAAUUAGCUUAAUUCUUUUCAUUGUACCCAUUGCUUCACUUCCUCUUUUCGUCAACGACAAUGGGUAACUUAAUCUCAACCUUCUUACCAGCAGACUUAUUCGAUCGAACUUCAAACUGCGUUGGUGAACAAGCAAAAUAUGUAUGGGGUCUCGAAAAAAAUCUUCGGGUCUUGGAGACUGAAUUGCACAAAUUGACUCGAGCAAGGGACGAUCUGAAGACCAAGGUUGAGGUCGAAGAACAACGACCUCGAACCAGACGAACGAACCAGGUCGCAGGGUGGCUUGAAGAUGUGCAAAAACUGGAAACUGAAUUUACCGAGCUGGAACGAGUUAGAGCUCAAGAAAUGGAUAGAUUGUGCCUUGGAGGCCUCUGUUCCAAAAACUUCGUUUCAAGCUACAAUUACGGGACUCAGGUGGUCGAGUUGACGGAUCGAGUGAUCAAUUUAAAGAAAGACGGAGAAACAAUUGAAGUCGUUGUUGAGAAGGCGCCGGAUGGUGCAGCAAUUGAAUUACCUGUUGAUCACACGGUUGUUGGUCAAGAACGAUUACUUGAUCAAGUUUGGAGAUGUAUCACUGAUGAGGAAAAGAACAGGGGAAUUAUCGGCUUGUAUGGUAUAGGGGGAGUCGGCAAAACUACCCUUUUAAAACAAGUCAACAAC